rnacentral:rRNA from 1 species
GGGUGCGUAACGCGUAUCGAACCUGCCGCAUACCCGGGGAUAGCCUUGCGAAAGCAAGAUUAAUACCCGAUGUUCUCACUGUUCCGCAUGUUACGGUGAGCAAAGAAUUUCGGUAUGCGAUGGCGAUGCGUCCCAUUAGCUAGUUGGCGGGGUAACGGCCCACCAAGGCUCCGAUGGGUAGGGGUUCUGAGAAGAAGGUCCCCCACACUGGAACUGAGACAUGGUCCAGACUCCUACGGGAGGCAGCAGUGAGGAAUAUUGGUCAAUGGACGCAAGUCUGAACCAGCCAAGUAGCGUGCAGGAUGACGGCCCUCCGGGUUGUAAACUGCUUUUAGUUGGGAAUAAAAGGGGGCUCGUGAGCCCCGUAUUGUAUGUACCAUCAGAAAAAGGACCGGCUAAUUCCGUGCCAGCAGCCGCGGUAAUACGGAAGGUCCGGGCGUUAUCCGGAUUUAUUGGGUUUAAAGGGAGCGUAGGCCGGCUUUUAAGUCAGCUGUGAAAGUCCGCGGCUCAACCGUGGAAUUGCAGUUGAAACUGGAGGCCUUGAGUGCACACAGGGAUGCCGGAAUUCAUGGUGUAGCGGUGAAAUGCUUAGAUAUCAUGAAGAACUCCGAUCGCGAAGGCAAGUGUCCGGGGUGCAACUGACGCUGAGGCUCGAAAGUGCGGGUAUCAAACAGGAUUAGAUACCCUGGUAGUCCGCACCGUAAACGAU